rnacentral:rRNA from 1 species
UACGUAGGGGGGCUAGCGUUGUCCGGAAUCAUUGGGCGUAAAGCGCGUGUAGGCGGUCCGGUAAGUCCGCUCUGAAAGUCGGGGGCUCAACCCUCGGAUGCGGGUGGAUACUGUCGGGCUUGAGUGCGGAAGAGGCGAGUGGAAUUCCUGGUGUAGCGGUGAAAUGCGCAGAUAUCAGGAGGAACACCAAUUGCGAAGGCAGCUCGCUGGGACGGUACUGACGCUGAGACGCGAAAGCGUGGGGAGCAAACAGG